UACGGCCAUAUCAUGUUGAAACACCGGUUCCCGUACGAUCACCGAAGUUAAGCAACGUCAAACGUGAUCAGUACCUAGAUUGAUGACUUCUUGGGAAUACCAGGUGCUGUAAG